UACGUAGGUGGCAAGCGUUGUCCGGAUUUACUGGGUGUAAAGGGCGUGUAGGCGGGUAUGCAAGUCAGAUGUGAAAGCCCGGGGCUCAACCCCGGAACUGCAUCUGAAACUGUAUAUCUUGAGUGUUGGAGAGGAAAGCGGAAUUCCCAGUGUAGCGGUGAAAUGCGUAGAGAUUGGGGAGGAACAUCAGUGGCGAAGGCGG
rnacentral:rRNA from 1 species